UCCAUUCACACUCCACACAAGUUUAGUAGGAGCUUCUUCCUCUCUCCAUCCACGCUCUCUCCAUCGCUCCGUCUCCCCAUCGCAAGAGCUUCUUUCACCGCCGCCGCUUUCCCCAUCGCUCCGUCCACGAAGAAGCUCCGUCCACGAAGAAGCUCCAUCUUUUACGAGCUCCAUUUUCCUGCUUCUGUUUGAGCUGUGUUUCGGUGCCCUCUAUUUAGAUCUGCGCUUCUGAAUUUCAGAUCGCGUUCCGAUAAUCUCUAUUUCUCUUUUUUUUUUCUGUAUUCUUUCUUUGAGUUCUUCAUUCACUUGCCCUCACUACAUUCUUCUCGUCUCACGAUCUGAUCUCAUGGCUCCUAACACUGUUAUGGACUUUGUUUUCUUGUCAGAUUCAAUUUGAGACAAUAAUCACUUCCGUCAUUUCAAAGAUCGAACGCAGACAUGGAUGAAUUGAUGAGCAAAGAACAACUAUUUUAUGGUCUCUGUCAGGUUUUGCGUAAAUUUCCAAAAGAGACUGGUGAUUAAUAUGGGGACUUCAAUUGCAAAGGUCGGGAUAUUUGGAGGGAGCAGUCCAAAACUUUGGUGUUUGACGCAUAUUGAAACCAUAGGUAUAUGGGACUGGAAAGAUGGUAGAAAUGAAGUUAUCUUCUCAGAUGCUCAAACUCUAGCUUCUGAAAGUUGGAAUUUGGAUCAGAUAGACUAUUUUGUUGAUUGUCACUACUCAAGAGAAGCUGACAAAUUAUGGCUGAUUGGUGGCACCAAUGCUGGGAGUUUGGGUUAUUUUCCUGUAAAUUACAGGGGAGUGGCAGCAAUUGGAGCUGCAGAAGCGAUUCUUGAAGGUGGCCAUACUGAUAAGUAUCAUUGUGUUUCAUUCGUUGUGGUUAAAUUUGCAGUUGAAUCCUAGGAAUAAAUCUGCAGCAGCAGAAUGCUAUACCAGAACAGAGAUUUGCCUUGAAGGGGCUUAUGCUUUAAAUUAACUUCUUUAUUCACAAUCAUCGAGUACAGGAGUAUACUUUCUAGUUAUUAAGAAGCACCACCAGUUAUUAAGGAGAUUCUUGUUCUAGUUCAAGAUUCUGCAAAGAUUAAAGAAGCACCACCAGGUUCUUUCUCUUUUUCUCCUAUUAAAUUUGCAGCCCCAAAUCGAACUAGACCAGAUGUUGAGAAUUUGAUACUUGGAAAACAGAUGAAAAAUGAAAAAAUAUAAGGAGGCAGAGAAGCCUGACGCAGAGGAUCAAUUCAUGACCCCACUGUUUGAAUCAAUGGACACAAUAAUGAUGAAUGGUUUCUAUACAGAUGAAGUUCCAAUUUUAGAACCUAAUUAAGCAACCUUAUUGUAUAUUUUGACUUAAUUAGAGGACAAUAGUUAAUGUAUCAAUACACUUUGAUGUAUGGUUGUUACUUGUUAUUAUAAUUGAUGUAUCAACACUUUGUUUAUAUUUUGAAAUAUAUUGACUUGUUUA